GCGACAGGGCCGCGCUGAAGCACGAGCCCAUCUUGACCGGCCGGACGCCCCAUGUGACCGAUCGAUCGAUCGAUCCAACAUAGGCUCUCUCUUGUAUGAUCCCUUCUAUAUAAGCGUGCGCAGGGCUGGGUGCCCCUCCAUGGAUGGAGCCCGUCUUUGAGUGUGCGUCAAGAAGUGAGGCGAGUGCCCGAGAGAAAGCGUGAAGCUGCCAGCAUGAUCUAACCUCCCAAGCCGGCAUUGAUUUCAUUCAAGGCGUGAAUACGGCGCUUCCACGGAGCGGUUAGAUCGUGCUGUGACAGUUUCACUCUUUCCCUGCUGGGCACAUGAGAUAACUUGACUACUUCAGCAUUCCAGCUCUGUAGGAAGGAGAGUUCAUCGAUUUUAUAAUUGGACGAGAUAGGGGAUCUUGGAGAAGCGGUCCAGCAGGCUCGGGGAUACAUCGAGCAAGAAGAUGCCAAAUCUCCUCGCGUACACUCGAACUGAUGUCGUCAAGCAGGCUCGUGGAUGCUUCGACUGAGCAGAUGCCAAGCCCCCUUGUACACUAGGUUUCCAUAUUCCAGUUAAACUCAUGUUCCUGAUGCCGCCUACUUCUACUAUAACAUUGGUGCCGCUCGACCAGCAUACUCUAUCUAUGUCAAAGGGUCUCUUAUUCAUCCUGUCCUACUAGUUACAAAAGGUAGAGAUGGCAAAGCUUCUUUUUUGGAGAUGUAUUUUACAGUGUUGAUCUGCAUACAUGGGUGUUAUGGAGUUUUAUGUACGCACCGAGAGGGAUUCAGGCUCCAUGGCGUAACAUCCGCUACCUUGCUACUGCCAUGAUAUUUAUGUAUGCUGUUGUAUAAAGUCAUAAAGAUGAUGUGGAGUUACUCUUUCCCACCUUUAAGUUGAAGAAACAUGAGAAACUAAGUUGCACAAUAAGUCCAUAUAGAAUCGUUUUCUCAUUUUCUACUUAGAGGUGUA